rnacentral:lncRNA from 1 species
UUUUUACCAAAAUCUUAGUUAUUUUAGUUAUAAAACUAAAUAAUCAAACCAAAACUAACUAAUAAAAUGUACUUAAAAAUAUGUAAAAUAAACCCUUAUCACAUGUGAAGGGUCUCAAUGCUUGUUUGACGAAGUAAAUCCCUUCUUUAAAUCAAUGACUGAUCCUUGAUUAUUGCACUCUAGAAUUCGAGCAAUUGUGACUAGUGAUGAUCAAUUGUCUACCUCGAACAAAAGAUCAGAUUUCUUCUCCACCCUUCUUAUUGUCAAUGUUGGCAUAGAAUUCUCGAACCAAAUCUAAAUAUAUGUGGAGAGGAAGAGAAAGAAUAGGCUCCCAUCCCAAUAGUUUAAAAGCUUCCGUAAUGCGAUAUACGACAUCAAUCUCCGAAACUAUGCGUAUCUCGUAGAUAAAUUCCAUGUGCUCGCAUUCCUCAAACCAAUCUUGAUUAUUUUGGACGUGAAUCGCUCGACAUCAUAGUUCAGAAGUGGUGGUCGCCUAGAUAAGUCUGUUCACAAUCUCCUUUGUUGAAGCAUCAGAAAUGGUGUCCUUCCGAUACUUUCCUCACUAGAACAUUCACGAAUAAUAGCUCGGUUUUUUCUUACCAUGCUGUCUAAAAAAAAUCGUUACCCUUCUCAUACACCUAGUGAAAAUAUCACACUCACACACUAUACAAGAAUUAAUUCCUAUAAAACACCUAAAAGAAACAUUUUUCCACUUAUUAUUAAUCGUAAACAUUUUAUAGAAUUAUUAGUCACGUAUAGGAAUUAAAAUUGACUCAAAUAAUCACAAAUUCACAUCUUCAUGUCAGAAAGAAUCAAUUAAAUAUUCAACAAUAUGCAAUAUUAUGACAUGAGAGACAUGACAUUUAAAUUGUCAAAAAUUAUCAAAAUCACCAAUUUAUUAAAAUAGGCAACAAAUAUUUUUUAAUUAAUGAAUUUGGCAAUAACCAAGUUUAUAGCUAAUAUUAAUUAGUAACAAUAAUUCACAUUUAGGCAUAAACAUGAUUAAGUAAAAAUUAUCUCAAAAAUCACAAAAUUUAUCAAAAUUAUUCUCUAUACACAAUGUACAUGCUAGAAUAUCAUCAACCAACCAUUUUUAGUCGUAAACAUCAAUCAAAAUGGCUCAAAUAACAAUCCAAACUACUUUUUCAAUUUUAUCCAAAUAUAGCAAAUUUAAAAUUUUAACAACUAGUAAAGCAUCAAAUUGCUACAUUUGAACAUGUAAACAUGCUUAAUCAACCUUAAUAAGCAUAUUGGAGGUAAAAUAUAUCAAUAAAUAUCAUCAAAAUUUUGAAAUUAGAAGAUGUCAGAAAACUCAAAAAAUUGAAAAAUACAAACUUGUAAAAUACAAAGAUUUGAUGAAGAGACUUACCUCAAUCAAGUAGAAGAAUGUUUGGUGAUGAAGAUUAUGCAAAAAAUCCUAUGAAACACCUUCUAAUUGACUUUCAAUUGAGGAAUUUAAGAACUAUGAACCCUAAUCUUCAAUUUCUUUAAAACCGAAUUUUUUGGUAUUUUUCUUGCAUUUCAAUCGGUUAAAAGACUCUAUAAAGGUCAAAUGAUGUUUGGUUGAUGAUUUCUUACAAUGAAAUAGAGUAAUAUUGAUGAUUUGUGAAGUGUACGUGUUUUGGUGUGAAAAAUGCGAGUUUAAGAAAGGAAGAAGAAGAACAAUAAAUGCUGCGUUUUUUGUUUUUAAAAGGAGAAGAAGAAAAUGCGGGGGGAGGGGGGGUAAAACGCGACCCUGAUCACAUUAGUAGGUGCUUUUUCUAGUUGUAACUUGCAGAACCGAAUACGUAGGUGAAGAAAAUGCGACCCUAGUCGCAUUUUUCUAGCCCACAUUUCAUUUUUGUGUGCAAUUUUUCAUCAAGUUUAUAACGCGAGGCUUGCUGCAUUUUAGAGCGUGUUUUAUAAAAAAUGUUGAAAAACAAGUACUCCCUCCGUCCCAUUGAAAGUGUCAUACUCUCUUUUUUGGUCUGUCCCAAAAUUAAUGUCACUUACCACAAUUGGCAAUAAAAACUUUCCCCCAUUUCCAUCUCAUGCCCUUAAAUGUACCAGAUUCUUUUAAGCUUUUGAUGGGCCCCAAAAAAUUACAAAAAUUGCACUUGAUACGCGUGAGCUCCACAACAAAUGCAAACAAUGGUCGUACAAGGAACUUUCCCAAAAAACGGCUGAGACAUUCUUGAGGCACGGGUCCCACAGGUCUUGUCACUACUCGUUAUCUUUCUGCUAGUCAAUAAGUUAUGCUACUCCAUAGAAACCGAACAGGGGUAUUGUUGGAAGUUACACCAAAAUCAAUUGAAAUCUUGACACUGUUGUAAACAAGCACAAGAUUCGAAGCGCGACAAUUAUUGAUAGGGUAUUAAUUGUUGGUUAUUUUAUUAUUAAUUUUCCUUUUGUCUCUGCCAAAUAUUGUUUUAAUUGUUAAUAUCUACUUAUAUUUGGUUAUAUAUGGUAUCUGGACUUAAUUUCAGGGAAUGGAGCAGAAAACUACAAAAAAAUGAGGGACUUUCUGAAGACAAUUGAGACUUCAAACAGUUGGGCCCCAUAUGGUGCUACAAGGAAGCCUUUUUCGGUUGCUGAUAUGUGGACUUUAGUAUUAGAUAGAUGACUUGUACGAGGGAGUCUUUGACUAGCAAUAGGAAACUAGAAAAGUGGAAAUUCGGCAGAGCUUUCUUUUUGGUACCUUUUCUCUCAAGUCGGUAGAGACCAACUAGGGAGAUAUAAGUAGUCAUUUGUUUAGAAUAGGGAACUUCGUUCUUUUGGGCUUCGGCCAAUUCCUUCGUUUUCUUUAUUUUUCUUCUUUUCGGUCUCUUCUAAGAGAACGACGGGAACAUAGCUUGUUUUUUGGAUAAUAACUUCUGCAAUUUCGCAUGGGAUUUCCUCCAUAUAGAUGAACUAAGUUUCUCAUCUAGUCGAAGGCCAACUUGAAGGCGCGGUUCCAAAUAUCUGUGAGAUCAAAUUAAUUUUAUUUAUUUCUUUUAUUCAUUGAUAUUUGUACGUUUCUUGAUUUAAUUGCUUAUGCUUGUUAUGUUAUUUGAAUGUCAAGGGCCCGAUAUUCGAAUUAACCUAAUAAUCUACUGUCAGAUUAAUUGAUUGAAUCCGUAAUUGUUCAAUUGGUUAAUACUAGUGGUGACUAGCGUGAUUGGUUUCAUGUUAGGGAAACGUAUGAUCUAAUUUAAACAAACUCUUGUAGCGUGUUUGUUGGUUAGGGUUAGGCUUUUCUAAUUCUUAACGCAAUCGAGGAAUUAAAUCCUAUGGUCGUACCUAGGGUUAUUUCUUGGUUAGGGAAAUAGUUAACGGUCGUACCUUGACUAUCAAAAAGGUAAGGAAAGGUUGGUUGUUUACCGCGUGUAUGACAACUAUAACCAAUCUAUUAAUGAGUAAUUGAAUUAUCUUUGCAUCGAUGAUCAGUUGAAUGGAUCGUGUCUGAAAAGUUGCACCUUUGGCUAGAGUCGUAUUGGUUCUUGAUUAAUUAUUGUUUAUUUCUAUUAAUUGUUUCAUUAGUUAGUUAAUUAGUAAUUUUAUAUUUUUCAAAAAUCCCCCAUGCAUUGAACUCUAGAAGAAACGAAUUAUCCCUAGUCCCUGUGGAUUCGACCCUACUCACCGCUAUAUACAAAAUUUGUAUUUUUCUUGAGUAGGUAAUUAUUAUUGCACAGGCUCGACACCCUGUCAAUUAUUUCGAGACGGAGGGAGUAACACUUGAUCCUAAAAUGCAGGGGUGGUCCACGUUUUCGUGGGUGCAUUUUGCAAUUCUGCAAUUUUAGCGCAGAAAUUCUGCAAUUUUAUAAAAAUUACACACUUAACCCCCAUUUUCUAGAAUACAUCCUAGAUCAUUGACCAUUCUAACCAAUAUUGACCAUUUUCUUCCUGUAAUAUUGCCAAAGUGGAAUAAAAUAUCAUCGAAAUAUAGCACAAAAUUGUUACUUAUCAAUAUACAAUUGCAUUACAAAUUAUUUCAAAUAUUUAAUUAUUUAUUACAUAUAAAUUGUUUUCCAUUUUGUUAUGUUUAUUAGUUCCCUUCUUGUUAAUUAAGACCAUAAAUCUUUGGAGCAAGUCUUAGAAAGAGUAAACUUUUUUUUAAGUGAAGAUUAAGAGUUGAGUAAUCAUAUUUAUCUUUAACACUUUAGUGGCUCUAUUAGAAGUUCACCUAGGAAAGCUAUUACAAGUAUUAGACACUUUACUAAGCAUAUUAUUACUCAAAUCUUGCUUAAACCCAUUAUAAUUUGGUGACCUUAAAUUGUGCAACUUUUGAGGAAGUGCUCGUUCUUACCAAUUGAGUCAACAUAUAUUGGCAUAUCAGUCCAUUGACUAAAGAAACCUAAAUCAACUCAUGCUCAGGUUGUGAAGUAAUCAAUUUGAUGUCUUAAUUUAUUAGUGUAUGCAAUUAUUUCGUUUACAAUUAGGUCUUCUUCAUUGAUUAUCUUUAUCCAAUAAAUAUAAUUUCGUUAGUUUUUCAUAAUAUUUCAAAUAUUUAAUUUUUUCUAUUUGUGCUUGUCUUUAUAUUCAUUAACACGUAUUGAUGAAUCCUCUAGUUUCAAUGAAUUCACUUUUAUCUUAUAUGGCAAAACUAAUUGGUAAGCGGCACACCCAACUAGCAAACAAGUGUUAUAGUUAAUUAAUCAAUUGAAUUUUGUUUAUUUCAACUAACUUUUCAAGUCAAUUUUCUUCUAUUUUCUUUACUCUCUUCUAACUACUUCAGGUCAAUCAGUUUUUCAAUUGUAUGAAAUAACUAGGCAUAGUUCAUAAAGUUACUAGGUUAACUCAUUUUUGCAAUAAAAAUACACCAUUUAUCAAGAAAAUAAUGUCUCUUCAGAUAGAACACACUGUAUAAAUUUGUCAAGGUAAUUUACAAUUUUAACUUAAAUAAUUUUGUCCAAUUUGUUGUCCAAUAAUUUUUACUGUAGGGCACUAAAUAUACUCCUGCAUUAAAGGAACUUUUGGUGAAUGGUUUUAUAUCUAUUAUGUGUUGAUUACGCACAACAUGCCAACAAAUGAUUCAUUACUAGAUCUCAAAGAGCUCCUCAUUCUCUCUCUCUCUCUCUGAUAAAAAUAACAAUUUCAUUCACAAAAUCUGUACUAACGGUUAAAGAUAUACUAGGUGUUGGACCCCGCGGGUGUCGCGGGGUGCCCAUAUUAUCUUGUUGGUGAGUGUUAACUGAUGGUUUUUUUUGUAAAGAAGAUGUUUGUAUAAGAGAUGGAUUAUAAACAGGAAAGUAGAAACCAUGCGUUUUUUAUAUAUACAUGAUCAUUGGGAAUUGCAGCUUAAUACAAAAGUUAGUUGUUAUUUGUACAAAACAAAAUUCUAGAAAGCUGCUAUGAUUCGUAAACAAAAAGUACAAUUUUUUGUUUUACAUCCAACUGGAAUGUAAACUGUUUAGUUUAGUUUUUGAUGUAAUAUAGAUUGAGAGUUAGAAUAUUGACUCGUAUAGAUAUUUUUCUUAUCUUCUGAGGAAAAUUUACGUUUCCGACCCAUAUGCAAUUGUAGCUAAAAUUAAGAAAAUUCUGUUAUCCAUGACAUCCAACAAUCACAAUCAUAAAUCAUCUAAAGUUUCUUGGAGGAGACAAAACAAGCGUGAAUGAAAGAGAUGAUUACCAUUUAAUAAGCAAAACGAUAACAAACAUAGAAAAUAAAACACAACGAAAUAGAACAAAUAAGUAAAAGAGAGAUUGCUUUACCUGAACAAUAAGCUUUGAAUAGGAUGGUUGAGCUGAGCUGCAUGGAAUAAACCGAUAAGAUCACAGAAAAGAUAAAUAUAACAUGGAAGCAGCUAACAUAAGAAAAGUCAGAGUCCAUGCAAACUAAAAACUUGCAACAAAGAAAUGGAAAUGAUGGGGAAGAGAAAAUGAUAAAAGCAUAAUCUGAAGCAUACGAAACAAAAAUAAACAAACACGGUGAAAGAGCAAAAAGUUCAGCGAAGGAACAACGUAAUAAACAGCUAUAUUAGGCGCAAAAGUGGAGAAAUACAGUAAAGGAAAACAGGCAGCACCUGAUUGAAGCGAGCGAGAACGAGGAAACUGGAAACAAAAAUCACCAAAAGCUGGCACAAGAUGGAGGCUUAACAGAAAGACGCAGGACAAAAGAGAAACAUCUCUAAAACAUUAUAAUAGUUGCUGGUAUGCACGUAGAGAAAGUCAAAGCAAAGAAACUGACGGUGAAAAAGCUAAUGUAGAUAUAGCACACAGAGUGCUUAACUAUACAAAGAGCCUGUGCUUUGGUAAAAGCAAGCACAUGCAUGCAUUAAAUCCAC